rnacentral:rRNA from 1 species
GAUUCAUAAUAACUUCUCGAAUCGCACGGCCUUGCGCCGGCGAUGGUUCAUUCAAAUUUCUGCCCUAUCAACUUUCGACGGCUGGGUCUUGGCCAGCCAUGGUGACAACGGGUAACGGAGGGUUAGGGCUCGACCCCGGAGAAGGAGCCUGAGAAACGGCUACUACAUCCAAGGAAGGCAGCAGGCGCGCAAAUUACCCAAUCCCGACACGGGGAGGUAGUGACAAUAAAUACUGAUACAGGGCUCUUUUGGGUCUUGUAAUUGGAAUGAGUACAAUUUAAAUCCCUUAACGAGGAACAAUUGGAGGGCAAGUCUGGUGCCAGCAGCCGCGGUAAUUCCAGCUCCAAUAGCGUAUAUUAAAGUUGUUGAGGUUAAAAAGCUCGUAGUUGAACCUUGGGCCUAGCCGGCCGGUCCGCCUCACCGCGUGCACUGGCUCGGCUGGGUCUUUCCUUCUGGAGAACCGCAUGCCCUUCACUGGGUGUGCUGGGGAACCAGGACUUUUAC